rnacentral:lncRNA from 1 species
CCGGCAACAGCUUCUGCAUCCGCGACCACCGCCCGCCCCCCUCCCCCGAGAUAUGCGCCGGUGUCUUCCACUCCGUCCCUGGGCCAACCGGGUGGUGGUGUCAGCGCCGGUGUCUUCCUCUCCGUCCCUGGGCUUGGGUUUCCAUGGCGGUGGCGAGGGUAACGCCGACCUCAGCCCUAUUACUCGGAGGUCCAACCAGAUAGCCUUUUGUACUUCUACAGUGCUGCGAGAGCAAGGAGAGUAGGAGCCCAAAGCCCCAAACGCUCUUUGUUUCGCUCUGCGUGCAUGCACGCGUGUUCGAUGCAUUAGGACGGACUUUGAAGAGGCUAGAGCAACAGUUACCGUGUAGUUAAUCUAGCUGUUGUAUCUAACUUAGAUAUCAGGCUGCUGAAAUUGCUUAAAGACCAUUAAUAUCUCUGAUAUCAUGGACUGUUAUUUCCUUUCCAUUCUGAAGAUGCAAGGUCAAUUCCCUCACUCCAUCAAGCAAAUGUGUUUACUUAUGAGAUUGAGAUGCGAGCUUAAGUUGCUCACAGUAUUCAAAUAAAAUCACCUACUUAUUUUGCUCCUGAAGUAAACCAUGGGCGAUUCUCUUCAUUAGUUCAAACAAACACAUCUACUCAUGUACCCUUUUCUGGUGGAGCUAGAGAACAACAAGUUCACUUUACUCCUCAACCAAACCAAGUAAGAAACCACUUCAUUUUCUCACUUCUGAGAGUUCUUUGCCAAAGAAAGUACGUGAAUCUAUGAAUUAAUCAUGAUAUUUGAUAUUUGAUAGUUGAAUCUGUUUGUAUUGAUCUUGAGCAUUAUGAUAUUCUGAACUGAGAUAGUUCAUUACUUGUCCUAGCACUUUCCAUCGCUGCAUUAUAUUUUAUCCGCCAGCUUAUAUCUUUCACUGCCCUUUCUCUUGGUAAUGGUUAAGCCAUCUGAGGCUGAAAAGAACUUAGCUCAGGCAAAUGUGACAUCAGGUGGUGCCGCUUCAGGUGGAGCAAGAAAGUUGUAUGUUGGCAAUCUUCACUCAAAUAUUACCGAAGACCAAUUGAGAUAGAUGUGGGUCCGACCCAUGCUCCAAUGUCGUUGCCUCCUAUGAGCUCUUGGUCCCAUGAGCUGCAUGUGGGCCAUCCUCGUCGUAUCAGCACUAUGCCCCUGCUGGCCGGCUGCGUAGCGAACACACAGAGGAACGCUAAAUGUAGCACGUGUAGACAGCGUCCGGUAUUUUACCGAAGGCUUUACCGUCUGUUGCUGGACCAGCAAUAGAGCUCGGCGUCCUGUAAAUUUGGCGGACAGGACCACAUACAGGUCCUUGUUGGACACAGUCUUAGUCCUGUGAGUUCCAGGUUUUCGCUUGUGGUACCUAUGAACAUGAAACCUGUUUACUUUGAGGAAUGUACUUUAUUUCCAUCUUAAGUUAGUCUAUUCAAACGGAAUAUGGAUAUAUUAACCGAAAUUUUCUGCAGU